UACGAAGGGGGCGAGCGUUGUUCGGAAUUACUGGGCGUAAGGGCGCGCAGGCGGCUCUGAAAGUCAGAUGUGAAAGCCCCGGGCUUAACCUGGGAACUGCAUUUGAUACUCUAGAGCUUGAGUACGGGAGAGGAGAGUGGAAUUCCCAGUGUAGAGGUGAAAUUCGUAGAUAUUGGGAAGAACACCGGUGGCGAAGGCGGCUCUCUGGACCGUAACUGACGCUGAGGCGCGAAAGCGUGGGGAGCAAACAGG
rnacentral:rRNA from 1 species